rnacentral:rRNA from 1 species
CAGUCGACGAUGGAAGCCCUUCGGGGUGGAUUAGUGGCGAACGGGUGAGUAACACGUGGGCAAUCUGCCCUUCACUCUGGGACAAGCCCUGGAAACGGGGUCUAAUACCGGAUAACACUCGCCGAGGCAUCUCGGUGGGUUGAAAGCUCCGGCGGUGAAGGAUGAGCCCGCGGCCUAUCAGCUUGUUGGUGAGGUAGAAGCUCACCAAGGCGACGUCGGGUAGCCGGCCUGAGAGGGCGACCGGCCACACUGGGACUGAGACACGGCCCAGACUCCUACGGGAGGCAGCAGUGGGGAAUAUUGCACAAUGGGCGAAAGCCUGAUGCAGCGACGCCGCGUGAGGGAUGACGGCCUUCGGGUUGUAAACCUCUUUCAGCAGGGAAGAAGCGAAAGUGACGGUACCUGCAGAAGAAGCGCCGGCUAACUACGUGCCAGCAGCCGCGGUAAUACGUAGGGCGCAAGCGUUGUCCGGAAUUAUUGGGCGUAAAGAGCUCGUAGGCGGUCUGUCACGUCGGAUGUGAAAGCCCGGGGCUUAACCCCGGGUCUGCAUUCGAUACGGGCAGACUAGAGUGUGGUAGGGGAGAUCGGAAUUCCUGGUGUAGCGGUGAAAUGCGCAGAUAUCAGAGGAACACCGGUGGCGAAGGCGGAUCUCUGGGCCAUUACUGACGCUGAGGAGCGAAAGCGUGGGGAGCGAACAGGAUUAGAUACCCUGGUAGUCCACGCCGUAAACGGUGGGAACUAGGUGUUGGCGACAUUCCACGUCGUCGGUGCCGCAGCUAACGCAUU